UAAAGCUUUGUGACCAGCAUUUUUAAAAAUUUGAAAAUUCAGAUUCAUGACAAUCCAUCCAAUAGUAAUUGGCAUAGUUUACUGAAAACCACUGAUUUCAAACUCUUGGUGCGCAAGAGGAAAAGACAGAGGAUGACAAAAGUGAGAGUUCAUCCUCUGGGGAGCAUGAAUAUCUGUACAAAAUUUUGGACCUAUCUAUUCAGUGGAUGUUUAGAUAUUUCAGUCUGGACCAAAGGAACUGAUGGACAUUGGUAUGUAUCAGAGCCUGGCUGCUGCUAGCAUGGCUAAAAUGUUUCACAAUAAAACCAGUCUGAAGUUUGUCAGACUGUUCUGUAUUUAAUUUAUUCUCCUAAAUCAAUAACUUAACAAGGUUCUGUAAUUACACCACAGAUUGUGUUGGCUGUUUUAUGCUGAAUCAGAAUUCAAUUGCUUCUUCUCAUUUACAGUCGUCUACAGAGACAAUUACAGUCAUCGAUCAUCCUCAAGGCUGCAGACGUAUGCUAACCACCAGCUAAUGCUAAUCUCCAUGUGUCUGAGGUGGAGGACGAUGGGAAGUGAGCGGCCGCAGCUCCCGGGACUUUUCCCAGGACGAAGGAUCCCAGGGUUAACUUCCCUCCGAGUGCUCAGCUUCCCACACUGCAAAGACAUAUAAUGUUAAUCUGAGCAUGUGAGCUGGAAACGAGGGAUGCUGCCUCAUCAACCAUAGAGAUGAUGUUACACCGGAUAGCAGGAUGUUUACUCCUUCACAUCCAGAUGAUCCUCCAGUAAGAAGCGUUCUCAAACGGUGGCAGAAGCGAUAAAGGGGAGAAAGAGACACCAGUUGGGCCCAGUGGGCCACUGAAUGCCAGUCAGAUUGGUGGUGUGAACCGACUGGGCUGCAAGUGAGCUGUUUCAACAGCUUGAUAAUACUCCUUUCAGUGGAAAGGAGGGUGUUGACCAUUAAACUGUUUACUCAUAUUGUUGUUGUUGAUUGUGGUUGAAUCUGGUCCCUCUGUUGAUUAGUUCUUCUGUUUGAGAAUCAGUGUUUUUUGUUGUAUAAAUAAAAUGUAUAUAUAUAAAUAAAACUUCU